UUUACAUCCGCACAAGGUAGAAAAUCUUCUUUCGUUUUUUCUCUACAUUUGGUACACUUCAAACUGCCACUUCACGAUUUUCUGAACUCUUCAUCAGUACUCAAUAGUACAUUUCAUUUUACACGUUCUCCAAACUGCCACAAAAGACAAAGAAACCCUACAAUCAUCUCUCACUCUUCCCUACUAAUCGCGCCGCUCAAAAACACCGCCGUAGAGGACCUAACACCGCCUCGUACCGCUCUCCGUCGCUUACUCGAUCUCUUCUGUCCCCGGUCAGUUCUCUUCAUUAUCUCUCUUCUCGCUAGUCUUGACAUUUAG